CCUUUUAUCUCCCACCGCUUCUUUAUCUCGAUCCUUCCACAUGGUUUCUCUUUAGAAGCGAUUGAGCACCGCCCCAGUUAGUUUAACCCUCCACCAUCUAUAUUUCAUUUUUUUCUGUGACGCCCUCCAUCACAUAAUCGUCUGCUUCGCCACAGUGUCACCACCAUCAAAGAACGACCACCCCCACUACCCUAAACUACGCCGUCCAACACUAUCAUCCCCCUUUCCUCCUCUCCGAUCCACACUCCCUACGCUCCUUCAUUUCUAGGGUUUUCAUCGUUGUCAUAGGGAUGGUGAGAUGUAAAACCUACUGAUUCCCCAGUCGUCGCCGUUUUCCAUGAUUUGGUGGUUUGGCGCUAUGAGCAACUUCUCAAAAUUUGGAACUAAAUCGACCCCACAAGGGUUCUUGCUACCCCUCUCAAGGAGCAGUAUGUCAAAUUUAGGUUGCAAGUUCCCGACGACGACGAUUCUACUAAUUCAAAGGGGAGGCGGCCACGAAGCUGAUGAACAAGAAGAAAUACUCUUCAAUGUUACCUUCAACUUCUAAUCUCUUUUAUUUUUUCUCUUCUUUACGAAAAGGUAACAUCCUAAUUACUCUUUACACUACCCAAAUUCAUCAGUCAUAUUCACCCAACGUUGUUUCUGGACUUCAGUCCACUCAAUUGAAGGAAACAUAGUUGAUUUCUGACAAAAAUGAAGUCAACCCAUGUGAGAAUUCCAAGUUUUGUGAAACAGGUCAGAUAAGUUACACCACUUACAACCUGGGACUUCUCAAUCCCUACAUUUGACUUCGCUUAUCUAAUAAGUCCAAAUUUCAGAUUUUUUUGAGCGGCUGCGUAUGUACAAAUGAACGCUUAUAGGUGUAUGUGUGUUUGGAGGAUCCUUUGAUUCUUUCAUAACUGGAAAUGGCAAAAGGAUUUGCAGUCAUUUGACAUGUGCUUUGUGUACAAGAAAAUAAGCUAAUCAUUAUCAUUUCUUUUUGUUUUUUGGUCAGGAUACAAAAAAAGCUAUGCGUGCUCUGGAUUUUAGGGGGUAGUUUCAGCCUUUCAGUUUCCCUGGUAAAGCACAUUAGUAGAAGUUGCUAUUGCCAAUGGAGUUACCAAGGAAAUUGGUGAUGACGAGGACAAUGACCUAGAUCUCUUUGGUGACGAGACGGAUGAGGAAAAGAAGGCAGUUGAAGCACAUGAUCAAGCAAAAGCAUCAACAAAGAAAAAAGAAUGAUAUUGGGUGCGAUUGAGAAAAACAAGUAAUUUGAGGACUUCACAGGUUUCUUUAAACUCUGAUAUUUGGGUAUUUUCUCAGAAAACGUGGAUCUAUGCAUUAAGAUAUAUAUCAACUACUAAAUAUUUUCCUACUUUCAGAUCUAUCUAUGAGAUGUGGUUGCUUUUUGUGUGGACUUCUUUGAUUACGAUAUAGGAAUUAAAUGUCUACAUCCCUUGGAUCAUUUCCACAACACAACAAUGAAGUAAUAGAGUAAAUCAAUUUUUAUGGAAA